GGUUGCUUCUUUUUCUGCAGUGGUCUGAAGGAAAUAUAUCAGUUCUAUAAUGAUGGAAAAUAAUUUACUGAUUCAUGAAUCUCAAUACAUCCCUGAAUACCUGCGGUAUUACAAAAACCGGUAAGGGCAAAGCUUGAUCAUGGUGAUUAUUGGUCAGGAUAUAUCCAUCUUGGUUUGGAUUAUCGGUAAACGAACAAAUAGGUUGUCU
rnacentral:misc_RNA from 1 species